GACGAACGCUGGCGGCGUGCCUAAUACAUGCAAGUCGAGCGGAGUUUUUCUGGUGCUUGCACUAGAAAAACUUAGCGGCGAACGGGUGAGAACACGUAAAGAACCUGCCUCAUAGACUGGGACAACUAUUGGAAACGAUAGCUAAUACCGGAUAACAGCAUUAACUGCAUGGUUGAUGUUUAAAAGUUGGUUAUGCUAACACUAUGAGAUGGCUUUGCGGUGCAUUAGCUAGUUGGUGGGGUAAAGGCCCACCAAGGCGACGAUGCAUAGCCGACCUGAGAGGGUGAUCGGCCACACUGGGACUGAGACACGGCCCAGACUCCUACGGGAGGCAGCAGUAGGGCAUCUUCCGCAAUGGGCGAAAGCCUGACGGAGCAACGCCGCGUGAGUGAAGAAGGAUUUCGGUUCGUAAAGCUCUGUUGUUAGGAAGAAUGGAUAUGUAGU
rnacentral:rRNA from 1 species